rnacentral:tRNA from 1 species
CGGGGUGUGGCGUAGCCUGGUAACGCACGUGCUUUGGGAGCACGAGAUCGUGGGUUCGAAUCCCACCGCCCCGACCA